GACAGAGGUGCCGAGCGUUAGGCGGAAUCACUGGGCUUAAAGCGUGUGUAGGCGGGUCCGUAAGUACCUUGUGAAAUCCCACGGCUCAACCGUGGAACUGCUGGGUAUACUGCGGGUCUUGAGCCACUUAGGGGCAAGCGGAACAAACGGUGGAGCGGUGAAAUGCGUAGAUAUCGUUUGGAACGCCAAUGGUGAAAACAGCUUGCUGGGAGUGUGCUGACGCUGAGACACGAAAGCCAGGGGAGCAAACGGG
rnacentral:rRNA from 1 species